GACGAACGCUGGCGGCGUGCCUAAUACAUGCAAGUAGAACGCUGAAGGAGGAGCUUGCUUCUCUGGAUGAGUUGCGAACGGGGGAGUAACGCGUAGGUAACUUGCCUGGUAGCGGGGGAUAAUUAUUGGAAACGAUAGCUAAUACCGCAUAAGAGUAGAUGUUGCAUGACAUUUGCUUAAAAGGUGCAAUUGCAUCACUACCAGAUGGACCUGCGUUGUAUUAGCUAGUUGGUGGGGUAACGGCUCACCAAGGCGACGAUACAUAGCCGACCUGAGAGGGUGAUCGGCCACACUGGGACUGAGACACGGCCCAGACUCCUACGGGAGGCAGCAGUAGGGAAUCUUCGGCAAUGGACGGAAGUCUGACCGAGCAACGCCGCGUGAGUGAAGAAGGUUCUCGGAUCGUAAAACUCUGUUGUUAAAGAAGAACAAGGAUGAGAGUAACUGCUCAUCCCCUGACGGUAUUUAACCAGAAAGCCACGGCUAACUACGUGCCAGCAGCCGCGGUAAUACGUAGGUGGCAAGCGUUGUCCGGAUUUAUUGGGCGUAAAGCGAGCGCAGGCGGUUCUUUAAGUCUGAUGUGAAAGCCCCCGGCUCAACCGGGGAGGGUCAUUGGAAACUGGAGAACUUGAGUGCAGAAGAGGAGAGUGGAAUUCCACGUGUAGCGGUGAAAUGCGUAGAUAUGUGGAGGAACACCAGUGGCGAAGGCGACUCUCUGGUCUGUAACUGACGCUGAGGCUCGAAAGCGUGGGGAGCAAACAGG
rnacentral:rRNA from 1 species